UCCGUGUGUCCCUGUCUGUCCGUGUGUCCCUGUCUGUCCGUGUGUCCCUGUCUGUCCGUGAGUCCCUGUCUGUCCGUGAGUCCGUGUGUCCCUGUCUGUCCCUGUCUGUCCGUGAGUCCCUGUCUGUCUGUGAGUCCCUGUCUGUCUGUGAGUCCCUGUCUGUCUGUGAGUCCGUGUGUCCCUGUCUGUCCGUGUGUCCCUGUCUGUCCGUGUGUCCCUGUCUGUCCGUGAGUCCCUGUCUGUCCGUGAGUCACUGUCCGUGUGUCCCUGACACUGUCUGUGUGUCCCUGUCUGUCUGUGUGUCCCUGUCUGUCUGUGUGUCCCUGUCUGUCAUCUCAAAUUGUUCUCUCAACCUGUGUCCACCUACAUUGUAAACUUUCAUUCAUAGGCCAGGUUGUAGCAACCUCAUGAAGGGUACAGGGAACAUUCUAGUAUCAUGUAGUAAACCUAAACCUAUCAUUGAACUGGGUGAAUAUGAAUGACAGUAGCCUAAACCUAUCACUGUUACAUUAAGCUGGGUGAAUGGAAUAUGAAUGACAGUAACCUAAACCUAUCACUGUUACAUUGAGCUGGGUGAAUAUGAAUGACAGUCAUCCAAUAGGCUGUAAUAAGUAAGGCCGUGCUCAUAAAGAAUAAAGAACCGUCCUCCCUCAUCUUAAACGACACUGAUCGCAACCGGCAUAUCAUUGUUUAGUUUCUUUGGCCUUCAGAGGCUGAGCUACAACCUCCUGUAGCCGAGGAGACAAACGAUUGACUUUGCUUGGGAAGUAAUCUAAUUCUUGUCACUAUCAAUUGAUUGAUUAAGCGAUUCACUUUCUGUACAACAGAAGAUGUUUAAACCCAGACAGGUUUUAAAGGGAAACACUUGUGACCUUCUCUUGUUGAGUUAAGCCAUGGAAGAAUAGUAGCCAGUAGUUAAAGUUGUCAAUGUUUCUGUGUCGGUAGGCCUACUCUGUCUGGGGUGGAAUGGUAGGCCUACUCUGUCUGGGGUGGAAUGGUAGGCCUACUCUGUCCAGGUCUACUCUGUCUGGGGUGGAAAGGUAGGCCUACUCUGUCUGGGGUGGAAAGGUAGGCCUACUCUGUCUGGGGUGGAAAGGUAGGCCUACUCUGUCUGGGGUGGAAAGGUAGGCCUACUCUGUCUGGGGUGGAAAGGUAGGCCUAACUUUUGAAAGUACCAUGCUCAGAUUCCUAAUGGCAUCUCAGACUUAAAUAUUUCCAAAUGGGGACAGUUUUGACAAUGUGAUUUUCUGGAUUUUUUUUCUCAUUUUGUCUGUCAUAGUUGAAGUGUACCUAUGAUGAAAAUUACAGGCCUCUCUCAUCUUUUUAAGUGGGAGAACUUGCACAAUUGGUGGCUGACUAAAUACUUUUUUGCCCCACUGUAGGUGUUCCUUUUGUCCAGGUGGGAAAGAGCAGUGUGGGGAGGCGAUUGAGAUUGUGUCAUCUGUGGAUCUGUUGGGGCGGCAUGUGAAUUGAAGUGGGUCUAGGGUUUCUCGGCAUGAUGGUGUUGAUGUGAGCCAUGACCAGCCUUUCAAAGCACUUCAUGGAUGUCGGCGUGACCGCUAUGGGGCGGUAGUCAUUUAGACAGGUUACCUUCACUUCCUUGGGCACAGGGACUAUGGUGGUCUGUUUGAAACAUGUAUGUAUUACAGACUCAGGGACAGGUUGAACAUUUCAGUAAACACACUUGCCAGUUGGUCCAUGCAUGCUUUGAUUGCACAUCCUGGUAAUCCGUCUGGCCCCGCGGCUUUGUGUAUGUUGACCUGUUUAAUGGCCUUGCUCACAUCAGCUACAGAGAGCGUGAUCACACAGUCGUCUGGAACAGCUGGUGCUCUCAUGCAUGCUUCAGUGUUGCUUGACUCGAAGCAAGAAUAAAAAGAAUUUUGCUCGUCUGGUAGGCUCGCGUCACUGGGAAGCUCUUGGCUGGAUUUCCAAUGCUGGAGACUCAAGGCUAUAAUUGCUUCAACAAAGUAAAGGGUCUGAAUACUUACGUAUGUAAAUGUGCAAAGUUGUAUUUUAUUUUAUACACUUGCAAAAAAAAUCUAAACUGUUUUUUGCUUUGUCAUUAUGGGGUAUUGUGUGUGUGUGUAGAUUGAUGAGGGGGGGAAAACUAUUUAAUCAGUUUUAGGAUAAGGCUGUAACGUAACCAAAUGUGGAAAAAGUCAAGGGGUCUGAAUACUUUCUGUGUGCUCUGGUAGCUCUCUAAGGUAUACGAUAACUAACGUGACAAGGGCAACAGAUGACGCGACACUCAAUUUCGAAAGUGCACCUUGUACGUUCUACUUUCAAGAGUAAGUUUAAAGCCCCCCUGAGUUCCUUA
ensembl:lncRNA